rnacentral:rRNA from 1 species
ACAAGCUUUUAAGAGCAGAUGGCGGAUGCCUAGCCAAAGAGAGGCGAUGAAGGACGUACUAGACUGCGAUAAGCUAUGCGGAGCUGUCAAGGAGCUUUGAUGCGUAGAUGUCCGAAUGGGGCAACCCAACUAAUAGAGAUAUUAGUUACUCUAAUUAUUAAUAGAGGGCGAACCUAGUGAAGUGAAACAUCUCAGUAACUAGAGGAAAAGAAAUCAACGAGAUUCCCUAAGUAGUGGCGAGCGAACGGGGAAAAGGGCAAACCGAGUGCUUGCAUUCGGGGUUGAGGACUGCAACAUCCAAGAGAACGCUCUAGCAGAGUUACCUGGAAAGGUAAGCCAUAGAAAGUGAUAGCCUUGUAUGCGACAAGGCGUUCUCAGGUAGCAGUAUCCAGAGUAGGCCAGGACACGAGAAAUCCAGGUUGAAGCUGGGGAGACCACUCUCCAACCCUAAAUACUACUCUUUGAGCGAUAGCGAACAAGUACCGUGAGGGAAAGGUGAAAAGAACCGCAGUGAGCGGAGUGAAAUAGAACCUGAAACCAUCUGCUUACAAUCAUUCAGAGCCCUAUGAUUUAUCAGGGUGAUGGACUGCCUUUUGCAUAAUGAUCCUGCGAGUUGUGGUAUCUGGCAAGGUUAAGCGAAUGCGAAGCCGUAGCGAAAGCGAGUCUUAAUAGGGCGCUUAAGUCAGAUGCUGCAGACCCGAAGCUAAGUGAUCUAUCCAUGGCCAAGUUGAAACGCGUGUAAUAGCGCGUGGAGGACUGAACUCGUACCCAUUGAAACGGGUUGGGAUGAGCUGUGGAUAGGGGUGAAAGGCCAAACAAACUUAGUGAUAGCUGGUUCUCUUCGAAAUAUAUUUAGGUAUAGCCUCAAGUGAUAAUAAAAGGGGGUAGCGCUGAUUGGGCUAGGGCUGCUCGCCGCGGUACCAAACCCUAUCAAACUUCGAAUACCUUUUAUCGUAUCUUGGGAGUCAGGCGGUGGGUGAUAAAAUCAAUCGUCAAAAGGGGAACAACCCAGACUACCAAAUAAGGUCCCUAAGUUCUAUUCUGAGUGGAAAAAGAUGUGUGGCUACUCAAACAACCAGGAGGUUGGCUUAGAAGCAGCCAUCCUUUAAAGAAAGCGUAACAGCUCACUGGUCUAGUGGUCAUGCGCUGAAAAUAUAACGGGGCUAAGAUAGACACCGAAUUUGUAGAUUGUGUUUGACACAGUGGUAGAAGAGCGUUCAUACCAGCGUUGAAGGUAUACCGGUAAGGAGUGCUGGAGCGGUAUGAAGUGAGCAUGCAGGAAUGAGUAACGAUAAGAUAUAUGAGAAUUGUAUCCGCCGUAAAUCUAAGGUUUCCUACGCGAUGGUCGUCAUCGUAGGGUUAGUCGGGUCCUAAGCCGAGUCCGAAAGGGGUAGGUGAUGGCAAAUUGGUUAAUAUUCCAAUACCGACUUAUGGAGCGUGAUGGGGGGACGCAUAGGGUUAAGCGAGCUAGCUGAUGGAAGCGCUAGUCUAAGGGCGUAGAUUGGAGGGAAGGCAAAUCCACCUCUGUAUUUGAAACCCAAACAGGCUCUUUGAGUCCUUUUAGGACAAAGGGAGAAUCGCUGAUACCGUCGUGCCAAGAAAAGCCUCUAAGCAUAUCCAUAGUCGUCCGUACCGCAAACCGACACAGGUAGAUGAGAUGAGUAUUCUAAGGCGCUUGAAAGAACUCUGGUUAAGGAACUCUGCAAACUAGCACCGUAAGUUCGCGAUAAGGUGUGCCACAGCGAUGUGGUCUCAGCAAAGAGUCCCUCCCGACUGUUUACCAAAAACACAGCACUUUGCCAACUCGUAAGAGGAAGUAUAAGGUGUGACGCCUGCCCGGUGCUCGAAGGUUAAGAGGAUGCGUCAGUCGCAAGAUGAAGCGUUGAAUUGAAGCCCGAGUAAACGGCGGCCGUAACUAUAACGGUCCUAAGGUAGCGAAAUUCCUUGUCGGUUAAAUACCGACCUGCAUGAAUGGCGUAACGAGAUGGGAGCUGUCUCAACCAGAGAUUCAGUGAAAUUGUAGUGGAGGUGAAAAUUCCUCCUACCCGCGGCAAGACGGAAAGACCCCGUGGACCUUUACUACAACUUAGCACUGCUAAUGGGAAUAUCAUGCGCAGGAUAGGUGGGAGGCUUUGAAGUAAGGGCUUUGGCUCUUAUGGAGCCAUCCUUGAGAUACCACCCUUGAUGUUUCUGUUAGCUAACUGGCCUGUGUUAUCCACAGGCAGGACAAUGCUUGGUGGGUAGUUUGACUGGGGCGGUCGCCUCCUAAAAAGUAACGGAGGCUUGCAAAGGUUGGCUCAUUGCGGUUGGAAAUCGCAAGUUGAGUGUAAUGGCACAAGCCAGCCUGACUGUAAGACAUACAAGUCAAGCAGAGACGAAAGUCGGUCAUAGUGAUCCGGUGGUUCUGUGUGGAAGGGCCAUCGCUCAAAGGAUAAAAGGUACCCCGGGGAUAACAGGCUGAUCUCCCCCAAGAGCUCACAUCGACGGGGAGGUUUGGCACCUCGAUGUCGGCUCAUCGCAUCCUGGGGCUGGAGCAGGUCCCAAGGGUAUGGCUGUUCGCCAUUUAAAGCGGUACGCGAGCUGGGUUCAGAACGUCGUGAGACAGUUCGGUCCCUAUCUGCCGUGGGCGUAGGAAAGUUGAGGAGAGCUGUCCCUAGUACGAGAGGACCGGGAUGGAUGUGUCACUGGUGCACCAGUUGUUCUGCCAAGAGCAUCGCUGGGUAGCUACACACGGAUGUGAUAACUGCUGAAAGCAUCUAAGCAGGAAGCCAACUCCAAGAUAAACUUUCCCUGAAGCUCGCACAAAGACUAUGUGCUUGAUAGGGUAGAUGUGUAAGCGCAGUAAUGCGUUUAGCUGACUACUACUAAUAGAGCGUUUGGCUUGUUUUU